CACUGUAAUGGAUCACGGAUGUGUUAAAUUUGAAUUCAAUGAUAUUUUAUGAUUGCCAGUCCCUAAAAUUGUGUGUAGUACGAGUAGUACGACACACUUUGUGUAGUAGGAAAAGUGUAGAGUGUAGUACCAAAUGUAAAAGCGUGUUAUUCUAAUUAAACCUUUAUAAUAAUAUUAUGUAUAAUUAUUUAUAUCUUCACAUUUUUUUUUUAUAUUUUAAUGUUUUUUUGCCAAAUUGCAUUUUUAUUAUCUACCUACUACACAGUUACAUAGUAAACAAUAUUUUGUGUUGUUACGUCUUUUAUUAUAAUUUUUUUUUUUUUUUGAUCUGAAGCCCGGCAUCUAUGGCCAUUAGCUGUAUAGGUUGUGUACGUUUUAAUGUCGGUAGGGGGAACACGUGUGUGUUGGGUUUGGCAGAGUUUUUGAUUGGGCACCCGUAGGUAUGCCCGGGUGGAGGAUGGCGGCACUUGUUCUCCGGACACCGUGACUUGGCCGAAGAAAAAUGCCGUCCGUGACCAAGGAAUCGAUCCGGCAUCGGCUGUGUCGCAAACCAAUGCCUUAGACCGCUCGGCCACUCCGUUGUAAAUGUUGCAAUAUUUAAUGUCAACUAAGACCCAACUGUUCAAGAGACGUAAAUGUUUACUAAAGGGAUUUGACACCGUGAUUUUCUGUCUUUGUCAAAAGGGUUGUGCACUACUGCAUCAGAUCAAUUGAUAUGUAUACACAUAUUUACAACAGUAUUAUGCUAAGGCCACACAGAGAGAUACGUACGAUAUAUCUGCUAUGCAAACGAAGAAUAGUUUUCUAUAUUGACAACGUAAA